CCCAAAUUGACAAACAUAAUUUCUGAUCUUGUCAAAUCUGAAAUCAGUGUCAAACAGAGUAGCCGAUGAAGUACUGAAGCGGUUUCGUUAGGGUAGAUGCUAGAUGAGAUGCGCGGUACAGAUAGCUACAGAAUUCAGCUGUAUACCUUAUUAGUGCUUGAUGAUUUAAGAUAAAACUGUGGAAAUUGUAACAUCACUGAGGAAUUUGGGUGAUGGGAGACACUCCAUCCAUACUGAAGAAGCAGAUAAAAUAAAGGGGCAUUACUCGGCAUGAUUCAGCAGGCCCUCUGUCAUCAGGGAUUUUGCCAUAAGUGACAGUCAGCAUGUAACAGUGAAGUGUUCACUGUGUGUGCUGAUUCUGAUCAUACAGAGUGUGAGUAGUAUCAAGAUGCUUCGUGAAAUCGAGUGUGAAUGCUUGGAGGAAAGACAAUAUCCUUUUCAUGGAACACUGUUGAGAAAAUUUAGAGAACCAGCAUUUAAAGCUGACUGCAAACUACUCUUCUGCUGCAAAUGAUAAAUCAUACAUGUCGUGUAAAGAUUACAAAGGCCCAAAAAUCUGCUUGAAGGGAACAAUAAGAAGUAUUAAAAGGGAAAACUAAAUACUAGAAGAACAGAAUUGAUAAAAAUUAUUGUAUCUAGUGUUUUUAGUGUAAAAAUGCUGGUAAGUUGCAAAAUACAGAAAGGAAAUUGUGGAAAUCAAUUGCAUUCUAAUUUUCUUUCGCCAGAACACAUUUAAAAUUGAAUCACGGUAUUUUCUUGAAUAUGCUGGAGCCAUGUUAUAAAUGACCCUGUAUUAUUUAAAAUGUUUGUUGAUAAUAUGUAGUACCACUAAAAAUAAUAAAUAUCCAGAAAUAUAUUUUA